GCUUAAUAUUCAAAUGAAAUUGGAACUACGUUUGUAUGAAGCGAGUGACGGAGAGAGCCCUGUCAAAACUAGCAUCGAAUGCGGAUUUCACGAAUUUUUGAAGACACUCUGUUUAAUAAUUACUGAGAAAUAAUUUAUUUUUGAUAUAGGCAUCAUCCCCAUUAAAAACGUUAACCCUAAAAUUCCUUAAAAGUGACAUUGAUAAUUUUUAGUAUAAAAAAAAUACACUGCCAUUAAUUUAUAUCCAUUCCAAUGGAUGUAUUUGAUUGUACGAAGCAAUAAAUAUUAUGCAGCGAAUGAAAUUUAAAAAUUUAUUUGGUAUUUUUUACGUUAGUUUAGAAAUAAGGCUCAAGGCAGAUUGAUCGAAGUGUAGCGACGCGUCUUUGCUUCGAUCCUGCUUGAGUCUUUACUUUGGUUAUGGUGAAUUUUAGAAUUUAAAAAACCGUUAUAUAUGCUACGCGCGCAUUGAUACAUGAGUAUUCAUAGGUAUGGCCGAUUUUCAUUAAAAAGGGUCGUCUGGUAAAUCGGUCAUGUAACCGGUUAAACACAUGUCGGUUAAGUAUGAUUUACUAAAACGUAUAAAAAAAACGGUCAGUUGUAAUCAAUUAUAAAUAAACUUGAAAAAUCGACCGAUCACCAGAAAACCGGUCGGGGUAACGUUAAAAGAAAAACACAUUGCAACGUAAAUAUAAAAUAUCUUGGUAACUAAUAACUAAAACAUUUUUUAUGUAUUUUUUAAAAAUUAUUAAGAAAUUACGGUUUUUAUCCCAAUUUUUUUUUAAAUUGUUAAUUGAUAAUGAUUUUUAUGUAAAAUAAUAAACCAAAACGGAAUACAUAAUUAUUGUACUAGGCCCUUCCCUGUUAAGACGCCCAAAUAUUACCUACGAAAUGCAAUUUGUGACUCCAUUUUGACACUCCUUGUAUUAAGACAUGUCAUAUUCUGACGUCUAAAAAUGCUUGCAAUUUCAACGUUUUAGAUAUUAGGUUCUAGACAUAUUAGCGCAGAAUAUAAAUGAAACGAAGCAUUUUUACCAAAAUCUUUAUCUUCACUAUGUAAUAAUACUUUAAAGUUUGGAUGAAGCAAAAAAAUAGACACACGUACACGCGCGGCGUUGUGCGUCGUACAUUACAUACUGGAGAUUUCAGUAUGCUUUGUAGUAGAAGAGACGCAUCGCACCACUUCUCGACUCUUCGUCAAUAUGUCUUGAACUUAAGAAGGGAGUUGUGUUAUUUCGUAUAAAAUAUAUGUAUUACAUGCUUACAAUGUAUUUAAAACAACCAAAUAUGUGAUUAAGAUGAUCGGGUACUCUUAAAUAAUAUUGAGUAGUAAAAAUAUAAUGAAAAGAAAAAGACAAUUUUCCCGUAUUAUACAUAAAAUAUAAAUAAUAUUAUAGUUUUAAAAUAAUAGAAAUUUUGAAAAUAAUUUAAAGCUCGCUUGUGUAUUAUUAAUUUUUCUUUUUGUAAAUAAUUACAAAUAUUCCAGUUAGUUUUUUAGUAAUUUGUAUAAUACCAAUAGAGUAGACAUUUUAUUUUAUUUUAUCGUAAAUAGGGAUAACUUUGCUUUGCAAUUUAACUGUGACGGUCAACAAAUAAAUAUUUUAUGUAUUUUGUUUGGAAUACAUUAAUAAAAUAAAACGCUAUUAUCUCUAUUUCAGAGUAAAAUGUUAAUGUAUUCUAAUAAAAAGAAUAAUGAAUUUUCCUUUGAUUGUCAAAGUAAAAUUGAAAAGCAAAGUUACUCAGAUCGAGUGUAUAGUUUUACGGCCAAAAUUAAUUAUAAUAAUCAAUCUAUCGGUGAUCUGUCGAUAAGUUACUUAGCAACAUUCUUAUUUGUCAAAAAUGUUAUAACUUUUUGACAAAUAACAACGGAGCUAUCGAUUGAUUACGAAUAGAUUGAUUUUAUUAUUUAUUGAUUUUGGCUGUUAAUGUAUUUAAUAUUUUUAGUGCAACCUCAUUUCUGAGUGAAAGUGGACUGUUAUUUAUUUUUUAUCUAUGUCAAUUUAUUUGUAUGCAGGCCUAUGCCUCUCUUAGCACGAUUUUUAUUAAAUAAAUAAAUAAUUAAAAUUAAUAAUUUUAUUAACCUGCAAGGGUAAACACUGGUUGGGGCACGUAUAGUUUAGUAGUGUCAAAGAGGACAGACAAAGACUGAGGCCACAUGAUGCGUGUCCGGUGCGUUGCGGCGCUGCACCGCUGUGGAUGUUAGUAUUGAGUGCCACUCGGGCACUGCGUUGCCGCUCCGGCAAAACGUAUAGGGCGCCGCACCGCCAACGCAACGCAGCGUCUGGCUUCACUCUAAAACUUAUGACUGAUCUUUUACGCUUAAAAUUGAUUAAUAUCAAUCUAUCCGUAAUUUGUCGAUAAAUUAUUUAGCAACAUUGUUAUUUGUCUAAAAAGUACAAUUUUUGAUAAAUAUAACAACGUUUCUAGGAAACUUGUCGAAAGAUUACAGAUAGGAUUGAUUGUUAGUUUCGGAUGUUACUGGCCAAAUAAUGUUAACCGAAGAUUUUUGACAGUUUUAUACUGUAGGUAAAUCUGUCAAAAUGUUAAAUUUCUUCGUCAGUCAAAGUCUAUUUGGAAAUAAUAGAUGAAAAGUCAGCCAAUUAAUUGAAUUUAGUGCAAAACCGAUAUUUAAUAGGCCAUUUUUGAUAUUGUUUUUCAUACCAUACAACAAUCUGUCAAAACUAGCCUAUUAAAAACGGUGAGUCCGAUUUGACACUAGUGUCACGUUUAUUUUAUCCAGUGUAAUUGUGACAUUUAUUUUUAAUUAUUAUAACGUGAGAUUAUUAUUUUAUUUACACUUCUAAAAAUGUAUCUUUCGAUUUUUCGAAAUAGUAUAAUUUUAUUAUAAUCAAAGAUACAUUUUUUAAGAUUAAUAUUAUUUUAGCACCGAUUUAUUUUUGUUGCAAAUGCUAUUAUUUUGAAAGGAACAUUAAGGAUUAAAUUUGUUUACUAAGAAGAUGAAAUUUAAUGCUUAUGUUUUGUUUAUAGGUUUAACGCAGACCAUCGAUUUUAAUCAGUUGACACAUUAUGUCUGGCAAUACGUUUAACUGUCGAGAUUUAUUGUUUUUCCUCACUACUCAACGCACAGUGCAUUAUUAUUGAUAUAUUCUUACCUUUUCAAUAACAUAUCGCCCAAUUAAAUCUACGAAAAUCGGUAAUAUUUGCUCCGAUUUAUUAUUGUAGAACCGAUUUUUUCUGGGACUUUAUUACUGUCGGUGUUCUGCGUUAGCCUAAAGUAUAACAUUAGAAUAUACAAAUUGUAUUUCUUACCACCUAUCUUCAUGUUUUAUUUUAUUUUAAAUGAACUGUAACGCUUUGAGUAAUCCCGUUUAUUUAUAUUCUUCUGAAAUAAACUUUUAUUUUCGA